rnacentral:rRNA from 1 species
AGUAACACGUGGAUAACCUAUCUGGGAGUGGGGGAUAACUCGGGGAAACCUGAGCUAAUACCGCAUUCGCUUUCCGGAUCGCGGUCCGGAUCGGAAAGGUGGCCUCUUCUUGAAAGCUACCGCCCCCAGAGGGGUCCGCGCCUGAUUAGCUUGUUGGUGAGGUAAUGGCUCACCAAGGCGACGAUCAGUAGCCGGCCUGAGAGGGUGAUCGGCCACACUGGAACUGAGACACGGUCCAG